UUUCGCUGGCGGGGCGCCGCGCUCUGGGACACGCGGGUGCAGCCGAGCUCCGGACUCAGCGGCAACGGCCCCCGCCCGUGGAGGAGCGAGGAUGUUGCGGGAGAAUUGCCGGAGAUUUACUACAGGGAAGAAGCCAAGGGGCUGCGGAGAAGCUGGUGACCGAAAUCUGGGACGAGAAAUCUGGGGCACAUCUUUUUGAAGGUGAGCACCUAUUGCAAUUGUGGAGGAUGAUGCCUGAAGGAGCAAUCUAAUCAGUGACAAUGCUACAAUUCUCCUGUAUCUUUAAUGUCAAACUUCUAAAAUCUGACCAUCAAAAUUGUAAUGAUUACAUUUUGAGAAAUAAAAUCUCAAUUUCUUUUUGUGAUACAGAAACAUUUAUUCAAAAAUGUUUGUUUGGUGUACUUCUAAUUGCCUCAUUUUAUCAUUAUUAUCACUAUGCUUGUACUUAUCUUUUUAUAUUUUCUCUUGACAUCUGUUGCACUCCUUUUUAUACUUUCCAUGUACUCAAAACACUUUGUUCCAAGUUUCCUAGGGACCUACUUCCUCAAACCCCCACCCUACUUACUUGACACAGUAGUCAUCGUGGGACUUUCAUUGCAUUCCUUUGCCAGAUCUUAUAUUUUCAGGAUCCCAUGCUUUCUUACUUAGAUUACUCCUUUGUUUUGAUGAAGCACAUCCUCCAGUAGCCUCCUAAGAAAGGGUACAUGGUAAGAUACAAUUUUGAGACCAUGCCAGUCUAACCUUCAUUUUAGCCCCUACUUGAUUGGACUGUCUGUAAUUCUAGACAGAAUAUUAGACUGGAAAUAAUUUUUUCUUUUAGAUUGGAAGACCCUGCAUUUAUAGUCUUCUAGCAUCUUCUAGUGUUGCUACCAAAGAGUUAAAACGCCAUUCUGAAAACAUCUUUUUUAUGUAACUCUUGUUAUCCCCCUGUGGAAACUUUAAGGAUCUUCUUUAACAACUAGCAUCCUGAAUUAUCAUAUGAUUUUGCAUGUGUGUGUGGGUGAUUCAUUGUACCAUGCGCUCAGUGGAUCGUUUUAUUAGUAAGAGUCACAUGUCCUACAUGUUGGGGAGAUAUUCUUUUUUAUUAUCACCUCCUUUCUCUUUUCUCUCCUUUUCGAGAUCUUAAUCAGAUGUUGUGCCCCAUUCUAAUUUUUUGGUUCUUUGCUAUUUUCACCUCUGCUUUUUUGUUCUAUUUUCUGAAAUUUCUUCAACUUAUUCCCCAACACAUUUCAUAUUUAAUUUUGGCUCUCCUAUUUUUCUAAUACUUUUUUCUGAUUGUUCAUCUUUUAUAGCACUUUCUUAAUUUUCAUGGAUGCAAUAUAUACUGUUCUGAGAAUAUUAUAGCAUCUUUGGGAACUUAAUGUUUUCUGCUUUUUUUUCCAGGUACUUUUGUUUUAGUCUUCAUCUUUCAUUGUUGAAGUUAUUUCUAUAUGUAUAGUGAUUCUUGGCUAUUUUUAUAUUGGAAAAAAUUUAUUUUUCGUUGAACAACACUGACCACAUUUUCUUUUCCUAAGUAUUGCUUUGUCCACUAUGGUUUAGUGCCUCCACACAAAAAAAGUUCAGCAUGAAAUUCUUCCCCUUAUUUUUGGUUUGUUUUGAUUAUCUUAUAUACUUACUGCUAAGUCUGCUAAGCUGCUUCAGUCGU